UCAUCAGGUAUUGUAACUUCUUACCUGUGGGCCUUCGGGCCACAGAACAUGAUGAAUGUUGGAGAAUGAUUCUUAUGAGUUACACUCCAUGGGACUGAGGGGACCGCAACGCUUCUCAGCUCUCACCUUCUGAC
rnacentral:snoRNA from 1 species